UACAGAGGCCCCGAGCGUUAUCCGGAAUUAUUGGGCGUAAAGGGUGUGUAGGUGGCGUGAUUAGUCGUUUGUGAAAGCUCGGGGCUCAACCUCGAAUACGCGAACGAAACGGUCAUGCUUGAGUAUAUGAGAGGUAAGCAGAACUCAUGGUGUAGGGGUGAAAUCCGUUGAUAUCAUGGGGAAUACCAAAAGCGAAGGCAGCUUACUGGCAUAUUACUGACACUGAAACACGAAAGCGUGGGUAGCGAAUGGG
rnacentral:rRNA from 1 species